GCUCCCAUUCCAAUUUUAAGAUCGUCUGAGAAUGAUGAGGUUGCAGACACAAUCUCUUCCCAUGUGAAUUUCUGGUAUUGCUGCACUGGACCCACAAGAGCAUUCUGAAGCUUCUCUUUUUCUUUGGCAUCACGCAUGGCUUUAAGCUCAGCUUCUUGCCUUCGUGAAGCUUCUCUCUCAGCACAUGUCCUCGUGUAUUCAGCUUCCCUUAGUGCAGCUUUACUCCUUUCCUUCUCCUGUCUUGCUAAUUCUUUAGCCUUCUCCUCUCUAAAGUUUAUUUCCUUGAGCUUUAUUGCUUCUUCCAAACGACGUGUACUAAGAUCAUUCAACUUCCGAGAAGCAUCAAUAGCCUCACUUUGAGCCAUGGCAUAUAUUCCUCGAACGUGUCUAAGUUCAAUCCUCAGCUUUUCUAGCUCAAAGUUAAUAACUGCCUG
rnacentral:misc_RNA from 1 species